CCGGGAACCCCGAACAUCCCCUUUCUCUACUCUUUCCCUUUGGAGUCUAUAGAGGGAGAAGCAGAGCCUAAGGCUUCAUCAGUUUGAAUACUGGCUGGGGCUGGGCAAGUUAGUGGCUCAAAGUGUUGAAUCUGUCCCUAAAGCAGGGACAGAAAUGGAGGCUCAGGAGGUAGAGGUGGCAGUGGGCGUGCAGGAGAAGCUGUAGGUCAGGAGGUAGAGGUGGCAGUGGGCGUGCAGGAGAACUGUAGGUCAGAGUGGAGAGGUGGCAGUGGGCGUGCAGGAGAAGGUGUAGGUCAGGGGGUAGAGGUGGCAGUGGGCGUGCAGGAGAAGCUGUAGGUCGGGAGGUAGAGGUGGCAGUGGGCGUGCAGGAGAAGUGUAGGUCAGGAGGCAGAGGUGGCAGUGGGCGUGCAGGAGAAGCUGUAGGUCGGAGAGGGUGCAGAGUGGAGAACAGAUGAGCUGGAGUCACACCAUGCCCUAUACCCAGCCAGAGGCCGAAGUGAGCCUGUCACGGUAAUGCCACUGCCUGCUUGAUUCCCUCCCAUGCCUAGCCUGGGUUCUUCAUGAUCCCUGAGGCCCUCUUUGAUGUCAUCCCGCUGCCUCAAAACCUGUGUGUGCUGGUGGCUCCCUCUGCUUUCCUUCCAGAUGACUCCUUCGCUUCAGCUCAAAUGUCACCUUUGGCUGUUAAAAUCCUUUCCGGAGGAAGUUGUAAACAAUGCCUACCCCUCCUCCCGAGGUCUCUGAUUCCACUCCAGGGAAGAUUGCUCUGGGGGAGCCAAUGAGUUUGUUGGGAUUACUUCCAGAGCAUAGGUGAGGGGUUAGUUACUUGAAUAUGAGUGCUGCCCACCAAAAGACCGCACUGAAAAGUCUUUACCCAGCAGGGGUGAUGGU
rnacentral:lncRNA from 1 species